rnacentral:rRNA from 1 species
UACGGAGGAUCCAAGCGUUAUCCGGAUUCAUUGGGUUUAAAGGGUGCGUAGGCGGAAUGAUAAGUCAGCGGUGAAAUCCCUCGGCUUAACCGAGGAACUGCCGUUGAUACUGUCAAUCUUGAGUACAUUUGAUGUGGGCGGAAUGUGUCAUGUAGCGGUGAAAUGCUUAGAUAUGACACAGAACACCGAUUGCGAAGGCAGCUCACAAAAACUGUAACUGACGCUGAGGCACGAAAGCGUGGGUAUCAAACAGG